rnacentral:sRNA from 1 species
GCCGGGUGUGGUGGUGGGCACCUGUAAUCCCAGCUACUGGGGAGGCUGAGGCAGAGGAAUCGCUUGAAUCCGGGGGUGGAGGUUGCAGUGAGCCGAGAUCGCGCCACUGCACUCCAGCCUGGGCAACAAAGUGAGACUCUGUCUCAA